ACUGAAUUGGCCCUACAAAAGAGCGUCAUAUUGGCUUACGUCAUAACAUUUAGGUCAUGAUGAAGCAAUCUUACCGAUGUGCCAAACCCAUCUUUAUUGAUCAAAAUUAUAUAAUUUGUUAGAAAUCUCUACAAUUAAUGUUGUAUUACAUCGCCCUAGAUUUGUUUGUUCAUAAUGAGGCCUUGGCCUAUUGGGGAGG
rnacentral:lncRNA from 1 species